rnacentral:rRNA from 1 species
UACAGAGGGGGCAAGCGUUAUUCGGAAUUAUUGGGCGUAAAGGGCGCGUAGGCGGCCUGGCAAGUGGAAGGUGAAAUCCCUCGGCUUAACCGAGGAACUGCCCUCCAAACUGCUUGGCUUGAGUCCGGGAGAGGUGAGUGGAAUUCCCAGUGUAGCGGUAAAAUGCGUAGAUCUCGGGAGGAACACCGAUGGCGAAGGCAGCUUCUUGGCUCAUUCCUGACGUUGAUGCACGAAAGCGUGGGGAGCAAACAGG